UUCUCGCUAUCCGCUACUCGCUUCAGGAGAGAGUGGGAUCGCAAGACCUAUGCUCUGGAGCGCCGAUCGUUAGCUAGUGGUGGUAGCUACAGGCAUCGAUCAGUAGCUGUCGAGAGGACGCAGCACCUGAACUGAGCCGUCAGCUCUACGGAGGCAGCAGUGGGAUUUGACAUGGCGAAGCUGAUCAGCAUGCGCGUGGAGUGAGAGGCUUCGAGUGUAAAGCUCUUUUGUCAGGGAGAACGGUGAGGGCUAUAUCCCUUGCUAUGACGGUACCUGAAGAAUAGCACCGGCUAACUACGUGCCAGCAGCCGCGGUAUACGUAGGGUGCAAGCGUUAUCGGAAUUACUGGGCGUAAAGCGUGCGCAGGCGGUUUUGUAAGUCUGUCGUGAAAUCCCCGGGCUCAACCUGGGAAUUGCGAUGGAGACUGCAAGGCUAGAAUCUGGCAGAGGGGGGUAGAAUUCCACGUGUAGCAGUGAAAUGCGUAGAGAUGUGGAGGAACACCGAUGGCGAAGGCAGCCCCCUGGGUCAAGAUUGACGCUCAUGCACGAAAGCGUGGGGAGCAAACAGGAUUAGAUACCCUGGUAGUCCACGCCCUAAACGAUGUCUACUAGUUGUCGGGUUUUAAUUAACUUGGUAACGCAGCUAACGCGUGAAGUAGACCGCCUGGGGAGUACGGUCGCAAGAUUAAAACUCAAAGGAAUUGACGGGGACCCGCACAAGCGGUGGAUGAUGUGGAUUAAUUCGAUGCAACGCGAAAAACCUUACCUACCCUUGACAUGUACGGAAGCCACGAGAGAUCGAGGCGUGCUCGAAAGAGAGCCGUAACACAGGUGCUGCAUGGCUGUCGUCAGCUCGUGCCGUGAGAUGUUGGGUUAAGUCCCGCAACGAGCGCAACCCUUGUCAUUAGUUGCUACGAAAGAGCACUCUAAUGAGACUGCCGGUGACAAACCGGAGGAAGGUGGGGAUGACGUCAAGUCCUCAUGGCCCUUAUGGGUAGGGCUUCACACGUCAUACAAUGGUACAUACAGAGGGCCGCCAACCCGCGAGGGGGAGCUAAUCCCAGAAAGUGUAUCGUAGUCCGGAUUGUAGUCUGCAACUCGACUACAUGAAGUUGGAAUCGCUAGUAAUCGCGGAUCAGCAUUCGCAGAAUGGAAG
rnacentral:rRNA from 1 species